UACAGAGGUCCCAAGCGUUGUUCGGAUUCACUGGGCGUAAAGGGUGCGUAGGCGGUUUGGCAAGUCUGAUGUGAAAUCCCGCAGCUUAACUGCGGAACUGCACUGGAAACUGCUUGACUAGAGGAAUGGAGGGGAGACUGGAAUACUUGGUGUAGCAGUGAAAUGCGUAGAUAUCAAGUGGAACACCAGUGGCGAAGGCGAGUCUCUGGACAUUUCCUGACGCUGAGGCACGAAAGCCAGGGGAGCAAACGGG
rnacentral:rRNA from 1 species